rnacentral:rRNA from 1 species
UACGUAAGUGGCAAGCGUUGUCCGGAUUUACUGGGCGUAAAGAGCGCGCAGGCGGUCGUUCAAGUCGCGUGUGAAAGCCCCCCGGCUCAACUGGGGAGGGUCACGCGAUACUGAUCGACUGGAAGGCAGGAGAGGGUAGUGGAAUUCCCGGUGUAGUGGUGAAAUGCGUAGAUAUCGGGAGGAACACCAGUGGCGAAGGCGACUACCUGGCCUGUUCUUGACGCUGAGGCGCGAAAGCUAGGGGAGCAAACGGGG